rnacentral:rRNA from 1 species
GACGAACGCUGGCGGCGUGCUUAACACAUGCAAGUCGAACGGAGUGGCGAACGGGUGAGUAACACGUGGGUGAUCUGCCUUGCACUUCGGGAUAAGCUUGGGAAACUGGGUCUAAUACCGGAUAGUGCAAGAUGAGCUCGCGGCCUAUCAGCUUGUUGGUGGGGUCAUGGCCUACCAAGGAGGCGACGGGUAGCCGGCCUGAGAGGGUGUACGGCAACGUUGGGACUGAGAUAAGUCCCAGACUCCGACGGGAGGCAGCAGUGUGGAAUAUGGGACAAUGGGAGGAAGCCUGAAUCAGCGACGCCGCGUGGGGGAUGAAGGCCUUCGGGUUGUAAACACCUUUCGAAAGGGACGCGGUACCUGUAUAAGAAGCACCGGCUAACUACGUGCCAGCCGCCGCGGUAAUUC